UGGACGGUAGACUCUCGUCUAUGCAGUACAAAUCAGGAAGUGAAUUUAGUCCGCAGGGGUUUUGUAGGAAGACCGGACCCUCAAAUCUAUCAUUUCUCAGGGCUCAGGAGGUGAGAGAAGGAACCACAGAGGUCCAACUCAAGGUCUCAUUUUGCCUGUUUGCUUCAUUUCUUUUGAGUCCCCUUUGUGCCCAUGCAAGCACUUGUCUGCUUUUCACAAAUUCUCGGGCAUGUCUCCCUAGCUGAAGUUCUUGAUUCGAGAAUGACCGGAUGGCUCUAUUCACAAAUUAUACAACUUUUCUGAAAGGUUCAAGUACAAGGCUUCAACCAAUCCCUUUUCACUUUGAAAUUUCUGCCGAGGCAUCACACAUUGGGAGCGAAGACUGACAGCAAGAGACAGACACAAGAAUAUGUCUAUAAGGCAUAAAACCUGGUGACUAAUGCAUCAUUCCUUAGAAAUAAGUAUUCUGGUCAGUGAAGAUGUCUGUCAGAAAAGUUGCUUUGCAAACUGUUUGAGAAGAAAGCCAUCACAAAUCCCUGCACUCUGACCACAGAUGAAGAAAGCGACAAUAAAAACUGUUCAGUGUUUUGGUAGAAGGAUCAACUGUAUUUGAAAUCAAAAGGAGCGUCUGAAACAAGAAUCAGCUUCAUGGACAUUCAAGUAGUGCGAUUACCUGGUGUCCCACACUUGCUUUAAUGCUCUGCUGUGAGAGUCUUGAAAUUCUUCAUGGUUUUAGCUUUGAACUUGUAUUUUGUAUGUGAAGGCCCUUGGGACAAUGGAACAUGUGUAUGAACAGAGGAUAUAUGCCUGUCUACCUUCCUUGCCUCUCUAUUCACAUAUAGCAUCAAUGAUGCCCACUAAGCUCAGAAUCCUGGUGGAUCCAUGAUGCAUGGAAGCUCAGCAGGAUCCAGAGUAAAUACAAGGCUUUUUGUUGCUAUUACACCCAGGAGCUACAUGACACAGAAAGCUUGGCAGCUUUCCCACAAUCCUCAGCAUGUGGGAAUAUCAAGGAACAGAGUGUGAGCCCCUGCCAACUGGUGGUUCCGUGUAAAUGUCUCUGUUAACAACCAGCACUGCUCCUAGCAGCCAGCCGAGCAAAGCGGCAAAUCUGUUCCUCUCUCCGGUGUGGAAAACACCACCGAAAAAGUCACCUAAUUACUUGAUUAAGAUGUAUCAAUCCCGGAAAUUGUUGAUCUAGAACAUUGAGUCGCUGACAUUUGAUUCAUUCUUGAUUAAACAAAAAAGUUUCA